rnacentral:rRNA from 1 species
UACGUAGGGGGCGAGCGUUGUUCGGACUUACUGGGCGUAAAGGGCGCGCAGGCGGCGGACCACGUCAGGCGUGAAAGCCCCGGGCUCAACCUGGGAGGUGCGUCUGGGACUGGUUUGCUGGAGUUCGGGAGAGGAGCGUGGAAUUCCCAGUGUAGAGGUGAAAUUCGUAGAUAUUGGGAAGAACACCGGUGGCGAAGGCGGCGCUCUGGACCGAGACUGACGCUGAGGCGCGAAAGCUAGGGGAGCAAACAGG